rnacentral:rRNA from 1 species
GUGCCCUAUACAUGCAAGUCGAACGAACUCUGGUAUUGAUUGGUGCUUGCAUCAUGAUUCUACAUUUGAGUGAGUGGCGAACUGGUGAGUAACACGUGGGAAACCUGCCCAGAAGCGGGGGAUAACACCUGGAAACAGAUGCUAAUACCGCAUAACAACUUGGACCGCAUGGUCCGAGUUUGAAAGAUGGCUUCGGCUAUCACUUUUGGAUGGUCCCGCGGCGUAUUAGCUAGAUGGUGGGGUAACGGCUCACCAUGGCAAUGAUACGUAGCCGACCUGAGAGGGUAAUCGGCCACAUUGGGACUGAGACACGGCCCAAACUCCUACGGGAGGCAGCAGUAGGGAAUCUUCCACAAUGGACGAAAGUCUGAUGGAGCAACGCCGCGUGAGUGAAGAAGGGUUUCGGCUCGUAAAACUCUGUUGUUAAAGAAGAACAUAUCUGAGAGUAACUGUUCAGGUAUUGACGGUAUUUAACCAGAAAGCCACGGCUAACUACGUGCCAGCAGCCGCGGUAAUACGUAGGUGGCAAGCGUUGUCCGGAUUUAUUGGGCGUAAAGCGAGCGCAGGCGGUUUUUUAAGUCUGAUGUGAAAGCCUUCGGCUCAACCGAAGAAGUGCAUCGGAAACUGGGAAACUUGAGUGCAGAAGAGGACAGUGGAACUCCAUGUGUAGCGGUGAAAUGCGUAGAUAUAUGGAAGAACACCAGUGGCGAAGGCGGCUGUCUGGUCUGUAACUGACGCUGAGGCUCGAAAGUAUGGGUAGCAAACAGGAUUAGAUACCCUGGUAGUCCAUACCGUAAACGAUGAAUGCUAAGUGUUGGAGGGUUUCCGCCCUUCAGUGCUGCAGCUAACGCAUUAAGCAUUCCGCCUGGGGAGUACGGCCGCAAGGCUGAAACUCAAAGGAAUUGACGGGGGCCCGCACAAGCGGUGGAGCAUGUGGUUUAAUUCGAAGCUACGCGAAGAACCUUACCAGGUCUUGACAUACUAUGCAAAUCUAAGAGAUUAGACGUUCCCUUCGGGGACAUGGAUACAGGUGGUGCAUGGUUGUCGUCAGCUCGUGUCGUGAGAUGUUGGGUUAAGUCCCGCAACGAGCGCAACCCUUAUUAUCAGUUGCCAGCAUUAAGUUGGGCACUCUGGUGAGACUGCCGGUGACAAACCGGAGGAAGGUGGGGAUGACGUCAAAUCAUCAUGCCCCUUAUGACCUGGGCUACACACGUGCUACAAUGGAUGGUACAACGAGUUGCGAACUCGCGAGAGUAAGCUAAUCUCUUAAAGCCAUUCUCAGUUCGGAUUGUAGGCUGCAACUCGCCUACAUGAAGUCGGAAUCGCUAGUAAUCGCGGAUCAGCAUGCCGCGGUGAAUACGUUCCCGGGCCUUGUACACACCGCCCGUCACACCAUGAGAGUUUGUAACACCCAAAGUCGGUGGGGUAACCUUUUAGGAACCAGCCGCCUAAGGUG